UUGGUCAUUAGAAAUUGAAGAUUUUACCUUGUUUGACUGUAGUUUUGCCUCAACCUACUUCCUUCUGGAAGUAAGUCAAACCAUAUGGGAAAAUAAUAAAUUAAACCCAAAACCAAACAAUCUUAAAUAAUAAUAAUAAUAAUAAUAAUAAUAAUAAAUAUAACAAAGUUAGGCACCAACCUUGGUUGCUAAAAAUAUAAGAGAGCUAAAGUUGCAUUCUCAUACAAGCUCCACCAUUGCCAAACUCCCUCUCUCUCACACACACGAUUCAAGCAGCUCAGUCUAUCUCCAACAUCUUGCUUCAAUUUUACCAGCCGGAUUCCGGUGAUUGCAUGGAAUUGUAGGAGCCCUACAUUCCUGUAAACACAGAGCACCACGCGAGUAAAAAGGAGUUCCAAGGUUUGUGUACAUGGCUAUCCAUAUAAACAGUUUUUAAUUAAUUUACAUUAACAUUUUGGUUUUCUUUGUGAGUUUCCAGGGCUCCUUACAAUUUUGGUUUUCUUUGUGAGUUUCCAGGGCUCCUUAC
rnacentral:lncRNA from 1 species